AAACCCGGAAGCGGAUUAUGUGGAGUGAAAGUUACACCGUGGCGGAUUGACUUCUAAGGACUCUUGGUACAUGAGGAAGAAACCCGGAAGGGGAAGAGGAAAGCAAAGGCGUCAGGAAUGGUUCUUCCUCAGGGUCUAUUGACAUUCAGGGAUGUGGCCAUAGAAUUCUCUCAGGAGGAGUGGAAAUGCCUGGACCCUGCUCAGAGGACUCUAUACAGAGAUGUGAUGUUGGAGAAUUAUAGGAACCUGGUCUCCCUGGAUGGAGUUUUUGCUCUUGUUGCCCAGGCUGGAGUGCAGUGGCACAAUCUCGGCUCACCACCACCUCCGCCUCCCGGGUUCAAGCGAUUCUCCCGCCUCAGCCUCAGAAGUUGCUGGAAUUACAGGUAUUUUUUCUAAAUGUGAGAUCAAGGAAUUACCACCAAAAAAGGAGAGUAAUACAGGAGAAAUAUUCCAGACAGUAAUGUUGGAAAGACAUGAAAGCCACGACAUACAAGAUUUUUGCUUCAGAG
rnacentral:lncRNA from 1 species